rnacentral:rRNA from 1 species
AUUGAACGCUGGCGGAAUGCUUUACACAUGCAAGUCGAGCGGCAGCGCGGGGCAACCUGGCGGCGAGCGGCGAACGGGUGAGUAAUGCAUCGGAACAUGUCCAUGUCGUGGGGGAUAGCCCGGCGAAAGCCCGAUUAAUACCGCAUACGCCCGGGCGAGGCAAGCCGGGGACCGCAAGGCCUGGCGCGAUUGGGUUGGCCGAUGUCGGAUUAGCUAGUUGGUGAGGUAAAGGCUUACCAAGGCGAUGAGCGGUAGCUGGUCUGAGAGGAUGAUCAGCCACACUGGGACUGAGACACGGCCCAGACUCCUACGGGAGGCAGCAGUGGGGAAUUUUGGACAAUGGGGGCAACCCUGAUCCAGCCAUUCCGCGUGAGUGAAGAAGGCCUUCGGGUUGUAAAGCUCUUUUGUCCGGAGCGAAACGGGCGCGGCUAAUACCUGCGUCCACUGACGGUACCGGAAGAAUAAGCACCGGCUAACUACGUGCCAGCAGCCGCCGUAA